rnacentral:rRNA from 1 species
UACGGAGGGGGCAAGCGUUGUUCGGAAUUACUGGGCGUAAAGGGCGCGCAGGCGGCUGCUCAAGUCAGGCGUGAAAGGCCUGGGCUCAACCCGGGAAUUGCGCUUGAGACUGGGCUGGCUUGAGUGCGGGAGAGGAUGGUGGAAUUCCCAGUGUAGAGGUGAAAUUCGUAGAUAUUGGGAAGAACACCGGUGGCGAAGGCGGCCAUCUGGACCGCAACUGACGCUGAGGAGCGAAAGCCAGGGGAGCAAACGGG